rnacentral:rRNA from 1 species
AAGGCAAAGCCGCGAGGCAGAGCGAAUCUCAAAAAGCCGUCCCAGUUCGGAUUGCAGGCUGCAACCCGCCUGCAUGAAGUUGGAAUCGCUAGUAAUCGCAGAUCAGAAUGCUGCGGUGAAUACGUUCCCGGGUCUUGUACACACCGCCCGUCACACCAUGGGAGUUGGAAAUGCCCGAAGCCAGUGACCCAACCGUAAGGAGGGAGCUGUCGAAGGUGGAGCCGAUGACUGGGGUGAAGUCGUAACAAGGUACC